rnacentral:rRNA from 1 species
GAUUAACGCUGGCGGCGUGCAUAACACAUGCAAGUCGAACGAUGAAACUCAUUAGAUUUCUUCGGAAUGAAAAUGAAUGGCUUAGUGGCGAACGGGUGAGUAACGCCUGAGUAACCUGCCUUACACAAGGGGAUAGCCUCUGGAAACGGAGAAUAAUACCCUAUGAAACCAGACAAUCGCAUGAUACUCUGGUCAAAAUGUUUAGUGGUGUAAGAUGGACUUGCGUCGGAUUAGCUAGUUGGUCAGCUAACGGCUCACCAAGGCAACGAAGCAUAUCCGACGUGAGAGGGGGAUAGGCAAAAAUGGCAAGGAGACACGGUCCAGAAUACUAAGGGAGGAAGCAGUAGGGAAUCUUCAGAAAUGGGAGAAAGACUGAUGGAGUAAAGACGCGGGAGUGAGGAAGGUAUUCGGAUAGUAAAAAUCUGUUAGUAGGGAAGAAAAUAUGGGUAAGGAAAUGUGCAAAUCUUGACGGGACAUAAUCAGAAAGCCACGGAUAACUACGUG